GUCUUUUUUUACAUUUGCCUCCUCAAUAAUAAUCCAAUGAAAACGCGUGUCAAAUUGGUGUACAGAAGCGGUCAAUAUUGGAAUAAACCAUUUGAAGAAACGUAACACGACGGUAGGGUUGCCCACUGGAAUGAAAAAGAACACGAUGCUUCAUCAUCGGCUCAACGGCAAUUUUAUCCCACUAAGAGAUUUUUUUUUUUUUUGGUCAAGCACACUCGACACCCUUACGGAGGUUUUUCAAGUGCCCGGAUCAUGAAUGGCUAAUUAAAAUCUUAAAUAACGAUUGCUGCAAACCUCUGCUCGUUGAAAAAAAAUAAAAUAAACCAA